AGACUCGCCGCCAUCCCCUCCGCCGCCGCGGCCGCCGCAGCCUCGGACCCCGGGGCAGCCGCGGCCGCCGCCUCAGCCUGAGAGGAUCCGCCGCCGGGACUGCCCGCUGCGGCCCCGCAAGUCCGGGUAAAGUACUCAGAUACUGAAUAAAUCCUAAAAGACUGCAAUAAAGUGGCAAUGUCUCGGGAACCCACCCCACCUCUACCUGGAGACAUGUCUGCUGGUCCUAUAGCAGAAAGCUGGUGUUAUACACAGGUUAAAGUGGUAAAGUUUUCCUACAUGUGGACCAUUAAUAACUUCAGUUUUUGUCGAGAGGAAAUGGGUGAAGUGUUAAAAAGUUCAACAUUUUCAUCUGGCCCAAAUGACAAAAUGAAAUGGUGCCUGAGGGUAAAUCCAAAGGGAUUAGAUGAUGAAAGUAAAGACUACUUGUCCUUAUAUUUGCUUUUAGUCAGCUGCCCAAAAAGUGAAGUUCGAGCAAAAUUCAAAUUUUCCCUUCUGAAUGCUAAAAGGGAAGAAACAAAAGCAAUGGAAAGCCAAAGAGCGUAUCGAUUUGUGCAAGGGAAGGACUGGGGUUUUAAAAAAUUCAUUAGAAGGGAUUUUUUGCUUGAUGAAGCUAAUGGUCUUUUACCAGAUGACAAGCUUACAUUAUUUUGUGAGGUGAGUGUGGUCCAAGAUUCAGUAAAUAUAUCAGGACAUACUAAUACAAAUACUUUGAAAGUUCCUGAAUGUCGACUAGCAGAAGAUUUAGGUAAUCUCUGGGAAAACACAAGAUUUACAGAUUGCAGUUUUUUUGUAAGAGGACAAGAAUUUAAAGCUCAUAAAUCUGUGCUUGCAGCUCGUUCCCCAGUUUUUAAUGCAAUGUUUGAACACGAAAUGGAAGAAAGCAAAAAGAAUCGAGUGGAAAUAAAUGAUGUAGACCCUGAGGUUUUUAAAGAAAUGAUGAGAUUCGUUUACACAGGGAAAGCACCAAACCUUGACAAAAUGGCUGACAACUUGUUGGCAGCUGCAGACAAAUAUGCACUGGAACGGCUGAAGGUCAUGUGUGAGGAAGCUCUGUGUAGUAACCUUACAGUAGAAAAUGUUGCUGAUACCCUUGUCCUUGCAGAUUUGCACAGUGCAGAACAGUUGAAAGCACAAGCCAUAGACUUUAUUAAUAGGUGCAGUGUACUUCGACAGCUUGGGUGUAAAGAUGGGAAAAACUGGAACAGCAACCAAGCAACAGACAUAAUGGAAACAGCGGGGUGGAAAUCCAUGAUUCAGUCUCACCCUCAUCUAGUAGCAGAAGCCUUCCGAGCACUAGCAUCUGCACAGUGUCCACAGUUUGGCAUUCCACGCAAGCGACUAAAACAGUCCUGAAAUCUUCCAUGAACUGUAGAAAAAUGGCAAUGACUUUUACUCCUCCAGGUCCAGAAGGAUUCUCAUACACGAACCAUAAGCAAGAGUUGUUUCUGUUUUCCUGUCCACAGAACAGAAACUGAAAAAGCAUAUUGCUGGCUUUUCAGGUGGAUAAUUUAUGGUUUAUUCUUCAGCUUUAAAUUAGACUGAUAAUACUCUAAUUCACUUCAAGGCCUUAAAUUAUCUUCAAUGACUUCUCUUGUUCAUAUAAUACUUUAAUUUUUUUAUUGUGCCUUGUCAUUUUGACCAAGGCUAUGCAGGAUUGCACUAGCUCCAUAAUGCAGUAAUAUUGAUAACUGAAGAUAUUAAGUUUCAAAAGGAUCUUCCAUUAUUUUGAGAAAAACAAAAUGAAUUUUUAUAGGGUUUGUCCUAUGCUAUCUUUUCAAAGGUUAAAACUAGGUUCUCCUUAAAAGCACUUGUAUUGGAGAUUACCAAGAAUGUCUCCAGUCUAAGUUCUAUGAAUACAGGAGAACCUGCUUACCUUCAAGAUAUUCAUUGAACAAUUCUAGUAUAUCAAAAGAGUGAUUCAUAUUUACAUUGAAAAAACACUGUCAGGUAAGCAUUUGUUAUCCACAAACUGGAGUUUGAAAAGAUCAUAUUUUCAGAUAUCUUAGUUUCUUUCUAUGUAGUUCAGUUGAAUUUUUGUUGUGUUAACUUAAAUUUGAGAUUGGAAGAAUCUCUUGGGCUAGAGUAAAGGUUUUUACCUGUUAAUAGACUCCCUCAUAUGUAAGAUAUAGGGUUCGGAAGCUCACUUUCUUAACUCCGCUGUAAGAUUGAGCCCGUUAAGUUUACAAUGUGAGAUUUAAAACAUACACAUACACUUUUAAUUUAAGAACUUGCUAGGGUCUUACAAGAAAAAAAUUCCUUCCUCAGGCUAUAGAAUUUUGUUGUCGUAUAUUAUAAAAAUCCUGGUGUCUCCGUUUAUAUCAAACGCACACAGGCACAUUGUGAAUGAAUUCACUGCUAAAAUCUACAUCUCUAACAUAGUGACUUCACAAAUAAUAUGGUAUUACAAACAUUUCAGCUUGUCCUUCCUUUAAUGUUUAUUGUAAAUCUUAAGGAUUUUAUUAUAAAGAUUUUUUUUUAAGUUUGGUAGCACAUUUUUUACCAAAAAUGUCAAACACUGUGCUAUAAAUGCAAGAAUAUCCACAUUUGUAGAAGUGUCCACUUUUCAAAUAAUAUAUUGCCUACCAUUUUACUAACAGAAUCAUAUAUGAGUUGAUUUAUUUUUUUAUUUAUUAUGUAUAUUUUUGGUAUUGGGGGUUCUUGAGGCAAUGAUAAAAAACUGUUUAUGUAUUCUGAAAUGAGUGCUCUAAUAGCUUUUUUUUUUUUUUCAAUUUUAGACCACACACAUUGUUUUCAAUAGGAACAGAUUCUGUCCAGAACAGUCUUGCCUUUUGAACUAUCUGCCUGCUCCUGGUUCCCUUUUCUCACCUAAACAGGGCUUCUCCUUAGAAAUGUAGUGAGCGGUUUUAAAUGUUACAUAUUAUAAAAAUAACCAUUGGAGAACCGUUCUUCAGUGUAAGAUUUAGAAACACUAUAUUUGUGCCUUUUUUUCUUUUUCAAUUUUAACAUGCAUUGGUAUUUGGAGCACAAAUAUGAAGGUGCCAUAAAUUAUGGCUUGCCAAUGUUACCUCCUUGAAUACUCAUGUGUCAUUGUCUUGGAAUAGUAAUUGGAGAACCUUGCAUGUAUUACAUGGUCAUUUGUGUGUAUGUGUGUGUGUGUGUAUGUGUGUGUAUAUUUGCUUGUAUAUUAUAUUUGGUUGUGUGUGUUGUGUUCAAAAGAAUGCAUUUCUGAAAAUAGGACUCAGUUAAAUGUUGAAAGUUCAGGUUAGUUGAAAUAUUUCAUUUAAAUGUGCUUUAUUUUGGGGAAGAUUGAUAAAGGAAAUUAUAAUUCUCAAAAAUGUGACCAAUUUACUGGAUGAUGAAAUGUGAAAACAGUGCCUUUUUAGGAACAUCAGUUGUAAAAUUAAGUUUAAAAAUAUUAACGAUCUCUUAAAAAGUUGUCAUGAACAUUAUUGGCUUACUUUUAAACUAGACCUAAGUUAGCGGUUAAAUUGUAGAAAGUAUGAUUACUAAUUUACGUGCCCCUUUGAUUUUUGUGCAAAUUUAAAAUCUAAGAAUUCUUUAUAAAAUCAUAGAUGCCACCCAGUGUUUCUAACUAGAACAGGAAUUUUGUUCAAUAAGUAAAGUUUUAUGAAAAUCCAACUCAACAAGCUUUUCUCAUAGCCAGGUAUACCUGAAGAGGUGAAUUACUCUAACUUGGACAUUCGUGUUCUUCUUUUGAUGGAUAAAAUAAAAAUAUUCACUAUUCUUUCAAAAUAAAGUGGAUGGGUGGGUUUGUUUUAGCAUCCUCAGAUUGUAAUGACAGCACUUUCAGCACACAUACAAAUAUUUCCGAAGCCGUUUUUGUACAGAUUACGAGCUCUACUUUAUUUAAGUUUUCAUGGAAUGAUGUAAAUUUUAGGUCCAGUUGAACAAAUAUUGAGUGCCUACCAUAUGCAAGACUUCCUCUUCACUAGGAAUGAAAUCACCACACCGUGUCUUCUGUUUGCAGUACAUAGACUUUGUGUUUGAAAAGGAAUUCCUGUAUUUAAAUCUUUUUCUGUUAGAGUUUAUCAUUGUAUACUGUAACCCAGUUAAUUUUGGAUUCAGGUUUUUAGAAUGAAAAUAUAACUUAAGUGAGUCUCAUUUUCGAAAAUAAAAUUCUGCUAAAAUUACUUAAAAUUAGUUCUGAGGGGAAUUGAUUUUCAAGAUCAAAUGUGUAAAGACUUAUAAUGAACUUUUCAGCCUCAUUUUUAAUCAGUUGAUGUUAAUGGUGAGAUACAUACUUUUUGUAUCUUGUUGCUGAAAAUAUUUUUUGCAUUUUGGCGCGUCGAGUUAAAAUAAACUUGUUACUACUUAUUCAGAA